GUACGGAAUGUUUACAGGUAUGUGCUGGCUGGUUUUGGAGUGAGGUAAAGACAGGAUGUAAUGAUCCAUAUGUUUUGUCAAGUGGGAAUAGAGGAGGAAUGGAGUGGUUUGGGUCGUGGAGGUCGUAGUGAAUUCUCUGGGUCGUAGAAAUCCAUAGAAAGCGAUGUAUAUUGCUGUUUUGAUGAUAGAAUUUGUAUUAGUG